AAGCGUGCGCAGGCGGUUAUGUAAGACAGAUGUGAAAUCCCCGGGCUCAACCUGGGAACUGCAUUUGUGACUGCAUGGCUAGAGUACGGUAGAGGGGGAUGGAAUUCCGCGUGUAGCAGUGAAAUGCGUAGAUAUGCGGAGGAACACCGAUGGCGAAGGCAAUCCCCUCGGACCUGUACUGACGCUCAUGCACGAAAGCGUGGGGAGCAAACAGGAUUAGAUACCCCUGU
rnacentral:rRNA from 1 species